rnacentral:misc_RNA from 1 species
AAUUAGUUUCUUCUCUUGUGUUUGAAGACCUUGUCUCUCCCUUUCAAUUUCUCUGAUAGAUUUGUCCAGCAUCCUCUUAUUUUCCCGGAGGAGUUCGGCUGGAGUUUUGCGCUUGCCGAAGAGGAAACUCAUGGCGGGCGAUCGGAUUGUAGAAAGAAAAUCUGAAUUGAAAGGAAUGUAUCAAAAUUUGAAUAGAGGCGACCGGAUCAAUGAAUUUGGUUUGUAGAAGAAGUGCUUGAAUGAAUUUUAUGGUGG